rnacentral:rRNA from 1 species
CAGUCGCCGCGGUAAUACAGAGGGUGCAAGCGUUAAUCGGAAUUACUGGGCGUAAAGCGCGCGUAGGUGGUUUGUUAAGUUGGAUGUGAAAUCCCCGGGCUCAACCUGGGAACUGCAUCCAAAACUGGCAAGCUAGAGUAUGGUAGAGGGUGGUGGAAUUUCCUGUGUAGCGGUGAAAUGCGUAGAUAUAGGAAGGAACACCAGUGGCGAAGGCGACCACCUGGACUGAUACUGACACUGAGGUGCGAAAGCGUGGGGAGCAAACAGGAUUAGAGACCCCCGUAGUCCCUGUCUCUUAUAC